AACGAACGCUGGCGGCAUGCCUAACACAUGCAAGUCGAACGAAGGCUUCGGCCUUAGUGGCGCACGGGUGCGUAACGCGUGGGAAUCUGCCCUUUGGUUCGGAAUAACAGCUGGAAACGGCUGCUAAUACCGGAUGAUGACGAAAGUCCAAAGAUUUAUCGCCAGAGGAUGAGCCCGCGUUGGAUUAGGUAGUUGGUGGGGUAAAGGCCUACCAAGCCGACGAUCCAUAGCUGGUCUGAGAGGCAGAUCAGCCACACUGGGACUGGGACACGGCCCAGACUCCUACGGGAGGCAGCAGUGGGGAAUAGAGGACAGUGGGCGCAAGCCUGAUCCAGCAAGGCCGCGUGAGUGAUGAAGGCCGUAGGGUUGUAAAGCGCUUUUACCCGGGAAGAUAAUGACUGUACCGGGAGAAUAAGCCCCGGCUAACUCCGUG
rnacentral:rRNA from 1 species